GUUAAGGUGGCAGACCUUGGAUAAUUGCAAAAGAUCUAAGCUCUUUACACGGAGGUUCAACUCCUCCCCUUAGCA
rnacentral:tRNA from 1 species